CCUACGGGCGGCAGCAGUGAGGAAUAUUGGUCAAUGGACGAGAGUCUGAACCAGCCAAGUAGCGUGAAGGAUGACUGCCCUAUGGGUUGUAAACUUCUUUUAUAUGGGAAUAAAACGUUCCACGUGUGGGAUUUUGUAUGUACCAUAUGAAUAAGGAUCGGCUAACUCCGUGCCAGCAGCCGCGGUAAUACGGAGGAUCCGAGCGUUAUCCGGAUUUAUUGGGGUUAAAGGGAGCGUAGGUGGAUUGUUAAGUCAGUUGUGAAAGUUUGCGGCUCAACCGUAAAAUUGCAGUUGAAACUGGCAGUCUUGAGUACAGUAGGGGUGGGCGGAAUUCGGGGUGUAGCGGUGAAAUGCUUAGAUAUCACGAAGAACUCCGAUUGCGAAGGCAGUUCACUGGACUGCAACUGACACUGAGGCUCGAAAGUGUGGGUAUCAAACAGGAUUAGAUACCCUGUAGUC
rnacentral:rRNA from 1 species